rnacentral:rRNA from 1 species
GACGAACGCUGGCGGCGUGCCUAACACAUGCAAGUCGAGCGAUGAAGUUCUUCGGAACGGAUUAGCGGCGGACGGGUGAGUAACACGUGGGUAACCUGCCUUGUAGAGGGGGAUAGCCUUCCGAAAGGAAGAUUAAUACCGCAUAAUAUGUUUUUGUCGCAUGGCAGAAACAUCAAAGGAGUAAUCCGCUACAAGAUGGACCCGCGGCGCAUUAGCUAGUUGGUGAGGUAACGGCUCACCAAGGCGACGAUGCGUAGCCGACCUGAGAGGGUGAUCGGCCACAUUGGAACUGAGACACGGUCCAGACUCCUACGGGAGGCAG